rnacentral:rRNA from 1 species
UACGUAGGGGGCAAGCGUUGUCCGGAUUUAUUGGGCGUAAAGAGCGUGUAGGCGGCCGCACAGGUCCGUUGUGAAAACUGGAGGCUUAACCUUCAGACGUCGAUGGAAACCGUGCGGCUAGAGUCCGGAGGAGGAGAAUGGAAUUCCUGGUGUAGCGGUGAAAUGCGCAGAUAUCAGGAAGAACACCCGUGGCUAAGGCGGUUCUCUAGUACGGUACUGACGCUGAGGAGCGAAAGUGUGGGGGAGCGAACAGG